rnacentral:lncRNA from 1 species
UGGAUCCCAGGGAUUUCCCAGGGAAGGAUUUCUCCCAGUGGAUCCCGGGGGCUGCUCCAGCAGAGGAUUGUUCCGGGCGGAUCCCGGGAGCUCUUCGGGAAGGAUUGGUCGGGGCAGAUCCCAGGGAUUCCCCUCGAUCCCAGCGGGAUCCCGAUGGGAGCGGGGAGAGCGAGGAGAGAUCCGGGAGCGCUCCCAGGGAAGGAUUCCCCAGGUGGAUCCCCGGGGAUCGAGAACUUUGGGAUCUGGAAUUCCCCCUGGAUCGAGAACUUUGGGAUCCCCAGGGAUCGAGAACUUUGGGAUCUGGUAUUCCUCAUGGAAUGAGAACUUUGGGAUCACCGGGGAUCGAGAACUUUGGGAUCCCCUUGGAUCAAAAACUUUGGGAUCCCCAAAUCCCCCUGGAUCAAGAACUCUGGGAUGUGGAAUUCCCCAUGAACUGAGAACUUUGGGAUCCCCCUGGAAUGAGAACUUUGGGAUCCCCAGGGAUCAAAAACUUUGGGAUCCUCUUGGAAUGAGAACUUUGGGAUCCCCAGAUCCCCCUGGAAUGAGAACUCUGGGAUCUGAAAUUCCCCAGGGAUCAAGAGCUUUGGGAUCCCCAGGGAUCGAGAACUUUGGGAUCUGGAAUUCCCCAUGAACUGAGAACUUUGGGAUCCCUCUGGAAUGAGAACUUUGGGAUCCCCAGAUCCCCCUGGAUCGAGAACUCUGGGAUCUGGAAUUCCCCAUGGAUCGAGAACUUUGGGAUCCCCCUGGAUCGAGAACUUUGGGAUCUGGAAUUCCUCAUGGAUCGAGAACUUUGGGAUCCCCCUGGAUCGAGAACUUUGGGAUCCCCUUGGAUCGAGAACUUUGGGAUCUCCCUUGGAUCGAGAACUUUGGGAUCCCCUUGGAUCGAGAACUUUGGGAUCCCCUUGGAUCGAGAACUUUGGGAUCCCCUUGGAUCGAGAACUCUGGGAUCCCCAGGGAUCGAGAACUCUGGGAUCCCCUCCCCCCUUUUCCCACGGGAAUAUUUAUCCCCCCCUCCCCCAUUAUUUAAAGAAAUCCGGGAAUUCCCCUCCCCCCACGGACAUUUCUGCACUUUAUUCCCGGAUUUGGGAAUUCCAGGAUCCGCCUUUGGGGUUUGUUGGUUUUUUUGGGAUCAUCCCCGUAAAAUUUGGGAAUUUCGGUCUCCCCCCAAAAAAACCCAAAAAAAUUCCCUUUUUUUUUUCCCCCUCCACUUUAAUUUAAACAAAUCCCGGGAAUUUUUUGGGCCAAAAUAAUAAAAAAAAAAAGGAAAAAAAAUCCCUUAAGGAU